AUACUUACCUGGCAAGGGAGAUACCAUGAUCAAGAAGGUGGUUCACCCAUAGCGAGGCUCAGCCAUUGCACUGAGGCUGUUGCUGACCCGUGCAAAUUCCCCAAAUGUGGGAAUCUCGAUUGCAUAUUUUCUGGUAGUGGGGGUCUGCGUUCGCGCUCUCCCCUG